GGUGUUGUAGGUCAGAUCCGCAGGAUCCCCUCAAGAGCCUCGGUAUGUAUCCCUCCUUACCUUUUCUUCUUCUUCCUCUGAUGCGUGGGCGUGUGCAGGUCAGAGGAGAAUGAGCCAGAGCAGGUGGAGGAGCAGGCAAACAUCCGGUGACGUCUCUGCUAGCCGGAUUCAGUGGAUGGUCAGGGCCUAAGUCAAGGCGGCGGUCGACUGCAGCAUGGAGGAGUCAUUGAGCAACUUCGAGCCAAAGGCGGCGGCAUGCGACGACGACCUCAGCCUGCAACAUAAGCUCCCUGACAUGGCAAUAAUCUGUGAAGUCGUGUAGGUUCGGCUCAGUCUCGUUGUCUUCGUCCAGCUCACCACCAUCACCGACCGCUACAGACAUUAGAGAUUGGUAAGCUGCAGACUACUAUAUCCAUUGGUGGCAGCAAGUUGGUUCAAACACGGGAGAGUUCAUCCGACAAAAGAGCUUCUCUCCGGUUGUAAAAGCAUUAAAUGGCAGGUUGUCAUGGGCUCCACAUGCGUCUUAUUGUUGGCCCUUGGUGCGGCGCCUCAGCCUCCCAUAGAGGACCGGAAGCUUGCGGUAGCAGGAGCAAAAGCAUCUCCGAGCCCUUCGGCCCUUCCUGACGAGCUGCAUCUCAUAGUUCACCACUGGAAUCCAUGCUUUGUUUUUGUCGCUCUCAGGUUGCAUAUCAUGCCAAAUUGUCUCUGGCCUGCUCGCUCGUUGUUUGUUGUCUCAUUUGUCUCUCGCUAUGGAAGAAAUAUAUGAGUGUUUAUGUAGUAACCUGUUCUAGCAUUAUUGAUGAAUUCUAUUCGGAGACUAAUAUGAUGAAUUGUAUUCGGAGACUAAUAUGAUGAAUUGUAUUCCGAGACUAA